rnacentral:rRNA from 1 species
AGCGGCGGAUGGGUGAGUAACACGUGGGGAACCUGCCCCUAAGUCUGGGAUACCAUUUGGAAACAGGUGCUAAUACCGGAUAAUAAAGCAGAUCGCAUGAUCAGCUUUUGAAAGGCGGCGUAAGCUGUCGCUAAGGGAUGGCCCCGCGGUGCAUUAGCUAGUUGGUAAGGUAACGGCUUACCAAGGCGACGAUGCAUAGCCGAGUUGAGAGACUGAUCGGCCACAUUGGGACUGAGACACGGCCCAAACUCCUACGGGAGGCAGCAGUAGGGAAUCUUCCACAAUGGACGCAAGUCUGAUGGAGCAACGCCGCGUGAGUGAAGAAGGUUUUCGGAUCGUAAAGCUCUGUUGUUGGUGAAGAAGGAUAGAGGUAGUAACUGGCCUUUAUUUGACGGUAAUCAACCAGAAAGUCACGGCUAACUACGUGCCAGCAGCCGCGGUAAUACGUAGGUGGCAAGCGUUGUCCGGAUUUAUUGGGCGUAAAGCGAGCGCAGGCGGAAAAAUAAGUCUAAUGUGAAAGCCCUCGGCUUAACCGAGGAACUGCAUCGGAAACUGUUUUUCUUGAGUGCAGAAGAGGAGAGUGGAACUCCAUGUGUAGCGGUGGAAUGCGUAGAUAUAUGGAAGAACACCAGUGGCGAAAGCGGCUCUCUGGUCUGCAACUGACGCUGACGCUCGAAAGCAUGGGUAGCGAACAGGAUUAGAUACCCUGGUAGUCCAUGCCGUAAACGAUGAGU